CACGUAGGGGGCGAGCGUUGUCCGGAUUUAUUGGGCGUAAAGAGCUCGUAGGCGGUUCAGUAAGUCGGGUGUGAAACCCCCGGGCUCAACCCGGGGACGCCACCUGAUACUGCUGUGACUGGAGUCCGGUAGGGGAGCGUGGAAUUCCUGGUGUAGCGGUGAAAUGCGCAGAUAUCAGGAGGAACACCAGCGGCGAAGGCGGCGCUCUGGACCGGUACUGACGCUGAGGAGCGAAAGCAUGGGGAGCGAACAGG
rnacentral:rRNA from 1 species